rnacentral:tRNA from 1 species
GCAAUGGUCUUCCAGUGGAAGAAUUCUCGCCUUCCAUGCAGGAGACCCAGGUUCAAUUCCCGGCCAAUGCA